AGCGUAGACGGAGUGGCAAGUCUGAUGUGAAAACCCGUGGCUCAACCCCGGGACUGCAUUGGAAACUGUCAAUCUAGAGUACCGGAGAGGUAAGCGGAAUUCCUAGUGUAGCGGUGAAAUGCGUAGAUAUUAGGAGGAACACCAGUGGCGAAGGCGGCUUACUGGACGGUAACUGACGUUGAGGCUCGAAAGCGUGGGGAGCAAACA
rnacentral:rRNA from 1 species